UACGAAGGGGGCUAGCGUUGCUCGGAAUCACUGGGCGUAAAGCGCACGUAGGCGGCUUUCUAAGUCAGGGGUGAAAUCCUGGAGCUCAACUCCAGAACUGCCUUUGAUACUGGAGAGCUUGAGUCCGGAAGAGGUGAGUGGAACUCCGAGUGUAGAGGUGAAAUUCGUAGAUAUUCGGAAGAACACCAGUGGCGAAGGCGGCUCACUGGUCUGGUACUGACGCUGAGGUGCGAAAGCGUGGGGAGCAAACAGG
rnacentral:rRNA from 1 species